UAAGGCUUCAAGAAAAUAACAAGUAUUUCCCAAGGGCACAGAACUGAUUUGUGUCCUUAGUUUUAGAGUCUAGAAUUUAUGUGUCUUGAAGAGUUUAGUUUCAAGUGAAUAUGGAUUUCCAGGCAGAAUUGCCGGUCUGUGCCUUCAGUUAUCCGUUGAAGUAAGAAGGAUUAUGCUAAGAAUACAAGUCUGAGUUCUGGAAUACCAAAGGCCCUUUAGAACAGUUAGCAUUCUACUCUGGCCGAAGAGUUUGCUACUCUCUAGUCUCUCUUACUCAUGACCAAGACCUUGGGCCUCUAUGAAAUGUCUCCAUCCUGCCAAGGAAUAAGGACUUUUGAGGAUAACCAGGAAGCUUUCUUGAGUCACCUUUCAGGCUAGAAUGGCCAGCUACAGAAGAAUCUAGUAAAGUAUAUCAUUUAACCCCAAACUGUGAACUCUCCCAGAAAUUAGUAAUUUAUUGAAAAAUAGCUUGACCAACCCCUUUUUUGGGGCACACUUAACUGAGAAAUUUUUUUAAACACUGAGAAACAGUACUACUUUUCCUUGUGAUUUUAUUUGCUUCUUUUGCUUUUUAUGCCUUUCUUUUUCCUGCCUCUUAACCUCUUCUGUAAAGUCAAGCUUACUCACAAACUAUACAUACAUCUGUUGGCAGUGCACUUUAAUAUGUUGCUUGGAUACAGAUGUUUGGAACUAUAGGAGCAAAAUUUAUACCUGAUUCUGUUACUAAGGAAACCAGGGCAACUUAGAAAUUUUCCUUUGGGAAUCAUGGCCAUAAACUGGAAAGACAUCUAUUAAGACUUUUGGAAGAAGAAAGAUAGAGCAUGGGAUUUGCAGGAGAAAUUCUUUGCUUAUGUCAGCCCUACUGGCAAAUCAUCUCCAGGAGAAACAAACAAGAAGUUAAUUUGCAGAAUCUGUUUUGCUUCUCCAACUACAAGGAAACAUUACACCUGUCUGAGAUUUCCUUCCAUCCAAACCCUGGCUGGGUUUCUUAAUAUUAGUGAGGCUGGCACUGCGAGAGAGUAAACUCCAAGGAGGACACACCAUUUCUGGCUCCCUAGUCCAUACUGCUCUGAUCUCUGCUGGGUUCCACUCGAUUCGACUUCUGCCUAGGGUUAAUUGAUCCUAAUGCUUCUGGAUGAACCUGCAGAGAAAUUUCUUGAAGAUAUGAACCGAACUCAAAGAAAGAAGUGGAAAGUCUACCUUCUAAGGAUAGUGGAAGAAUAAUUUGGAAUUGUAUAAAAUUUGGAGAUAACAGACUACAGUGCUGUAAAGGAAGUCUUCCAUUUGGACUUCCAGAUAAUACUGCCCAUGUGCCCAGACCACAUAGUGUAAAGGGUUAGUCAGAAGAGGGAAGAGUUCAGCUAAGGAAAACAUCAGAGAGUAAGGGAAGGCUGGCUACUGGAUGUGUUGGGGCUGGUAGGGACUUGGUGUGAAAGGUACUACUAGAAGUUAAGACCAUGAGGACAGGGAUGUUGAUCUGUUUUUUCAUUACUGAAUCCCCAGUGCCCAGAACAGUGCCUGGCAUAUGCUUUCGAAUUAGAAAGUUUGAACUAGCAAGUGGCCUUUCCCUCUUCUAUCUCGUAUUGGCCCCAAACCUUGCAAUUCUUGACAUGUAUACAAGAGGUGCUCAUCACACCAUUCUAUGAGCUCGAUGCUCUUGAUUGGCACUUUCCCAGAAAAGACCCUCCCUGGCAGGUGCAGAUGGUGUAGAUCCCAGCUUUUCCUCAAAUUCUCAGCAUGGCCACACUUCCAGAAUCAGUCUCAUUACCCUCAGACUAUGCACACAAGCUGGGCAAUGGACCUCUUCCGAAGUUUGAGUCUUCACUCAUCAGAGCCACUGUUCCAAGCAUCUGGCUUCUGAAAACCUCAAAUUAUUUUCUUUCUUUCUCCAAUCCUAGAGAUGACAGCAGCUUCUUGCAAUAAUUAGCAUAGUGUUCAUUUUUAGGCGUUUCAGUUCUCCAGCAUCUGUUUAACUAUUUCCCUACAUUAAAAUCUCUUGGUUGAA